UGGUCAAGUUAUUAAGGGUGCAGGGCGGAUGCCUUGGCACUAGGAGCCGAUGAAGGACGUGAUAAGCUGCGAUAAGCUUCGGGGAGUUGCACGUAAACUUUGAUCCGAAGAUUUCCGAAUGAGGAAACUCACUUAGAGUAAUGUCUAAGUAUCAUUAAGUGAAUACAUAGCUUAAUGAGGGGAACUCAGGGAACUGAAACAUCUAAGUACCUGAAGGAAGAGAAAGAAAUUCGAUUCCGUAAGUAGCGGCGAGCGAACGCGGAUUAGCCCAAACCAAUAAAGUUUUCUUUGUUGGGGUUGCGGACAUAUCAUAACGAAGAGGUAUCGUAAUUGAAGAGGUUUGGAAAGACCCACCACAGAAGGUAAUAGUCCUGUAUGUUAAACGAGAAGACUUUAGAUAUGAUCCAGAGUACCACGGGACACGUGAAACCCUGUGGGAAGCAGGAGGGACCACCCUCCAAGGCUAAAUACUACCUAGUGACCGAUAGCGUAUAGUACCGUGAGGGAAAGGUGAAAAGAACCCCGGGAGGGGAGUGAAAUAGAACCUGAAACCCUGCACUUACAAGCUGUGGAAGCACAUUUCUUGUGUGACCGCGUACUUUUUGUAGAACGGGCCAACGAGUUACGUUAAGUAGCAAGGUUAAGCACUUAAGGUGUGGAGCCGUAGCGAAAGCGAGUUUUAACUGAGCGUUCAGUUACUUGACGUAGACCCGAAACCGGGCGACCUACCCAUGAGCAGGAUGAAGCGAAAGUAAAAUUUCGUGGAGGUCCGAACCCACGAGCGUUGAAAAGCUCGGGGAUGACUUGUGGGUAGCGGUGAAAUUCCAAUCGAGCCCGGAGAUAGCUGGUUCUCCCCGAAAUAGCUUUAGGGCUAGCCUCAAGGUGAGAGAUACGGAGGUAGAGCACUGAAUGUCCUAGGGGGUAUUGCACCUACCGAAGACUAUCAAACUCCGAAUGCCGUCAUCUUAUACUUGGGAGUCAGACUGUGGGUGAUAAGAUUCAUAGUCGAAAGGGCAACAGCCCAGAUCGUCAGCUAAGGUCCCUAAAUGUAAGUUAAGUGGUAAAGGAUGUGGGAUUGCACAGACAACCAGGAUGUUGGCUUAGAAGCAGCCACUCAUUCAAAGAGUGCGUAAUAGCUCACUGGUCGAGUGAUCCUGCGCCGAAGAUUUCCGGGGCUAAAACUUACUACCGAAGCUACGGCAUCAGUAAUGAUGGGUAGGGGAGCUUCCCAUACGGGUUGAAGCAUGACCGUAAGGACAUGUGGACAGUAUGGGAGUGAGAAUGUUGGCAUGAGUAGCGAGAUGUGGGUGAGAAUCCCACAGGCCGUAAACCCAAGGUUUCCAGGGGAAGGUUCGUCCGCCCUGGGUUAGUCGGGACCUAAGCUGAGGCCGAAAGGCGUAGGUGAUGGACAACAGGUUGAUAUUACUGUACUACCGAUAACCGUUUGAGAGAAGGGAUGACACAGUAGGAUAAGCUAAGCACACUGUUGGUUAUGUGUGCCCAAGCAUUGAGGCAGUCAAAGUAGGUAAAUCCGCUUUGAUAAUGCUGGGAUGUGAUGGGGAGCGAAAUUUAGUAGCGAAGUAGCUGAUUUCACACUGUCAAGAAAAGUCUCUAUCGAGGUUAAAGGUACCCGUACCGCAAACCGACACAGGUGGGUGAGGAGAGUAUCCUAAGGCCAGCGAGAGAACUGUUGUUAAGGAACUCGGCAAAAUGACCCCGUAACUUAGGGAUAAGGGGUGCCACCAUCAGGUGGCCGCAGAGAAUAGGCCCAAGCGACUGUUUACCAAAAACAUAGGUUUCUGCUAAGUCGCAAGACGAUGUAUAGGAGCUGACGCCUGCCCGGUGCUGGAAGGUUAAGGGGAUCUGUUAGAGCAAUCGAAGCAGUGAACUUAAGCCCCAGUAAACGGCGGCCGUAACUAUAACGGUCCUAAGGUAGCGAAAUUCCUUGUCGGGUAAGUUCCGACCCGCACGAAAGGCGUAACGAUUUGGGCACUGUCUCAACAACAGACUCGGUGAAAUUGUAAUUCCGGUGAAGAUGCCGGAUACCUGCGACAGGACGGAAAGACCCCAUGGAGCUUUACUGUAGCUUGACAUUGGGUCUUGGUACUACAUGUACAGGAUAGGUGGGAGGCUUUGAAACCAGGACGCCAGUUUUGGCGGAGCCAUCCUUGGGAUACCACCCUUGUAGUACUGGGACUCUAACCAUAGGCCAUGAAUCUGGUCUUGGGACACUGUCAGGUGGGCAGUUUGACUGGGGCGGUCGCCUCCCAAAAGGUAACGGAGGCGCUCAAAGGUUCUCUCAGUACGGUCGGAAAUCGUACGUAGAGUGUAAAGGCAAAAGAGAGCUUGAUUGCAAGACAUACAGGUCGAGCAAGGAUGAAAAUCGGACUUAGUGAUCCGGUGGUUCUGCGUGGAAGGGCCAUCGCUCAACGGAUAAAAGCUACCCUGGGGAUAACAGGCUUAUCUCCCCCAAGAGUCCACAUCGACGGGGAGGUUUGGCACCUCGAUGUCGGCUCAUCACAUCCUGGGGCUGUAGUAGGUCCCAAGGGUUGGGCUGUUCGCCCAUUAAAGUGGUACGCGAGCUGGGUUCAGAACGUCGUGAGACAGUUCGGUCCCUAUCCGUCGCAGGCGUAGGAAAUUUGAGAAGACCUGUCCUUAGUACGAGAGGACCGGGAUGGACGUACCUCUGGUGUACCAGUUGUUCUGCCAAGGGCAUGGCUGGGUAGCUAUGUACGGAAUGGAUAAGCGCUGAAAGCAUCUAAGCGCGAAGCCAACUUCAAGAUAAGAUUUCCCACCGCAAGGGUAAGACCCCAGAAAGACUAUCUGGUUGAUAGGUCGAAGGUGUAAGUGCAGCAAUGUAUUUAGCUUAUCGAUACUAAUAGGUCGAGGACUUGACCAAU
rnacentral:rRNA from 1 species